rnacentral:rRNA from 1 species
UACAGAGGGUGCAAGCGUUGUUCGGAAUCAUUGGGCGUAAAGCGCACGUAGGCGGCCUGCUAAGUCGGAUGUGAAAGCCCAGGGCUCAACCCUGGAAGUGCAUUCGAAACUGGCGAGCUUGAGUGUCGGAGAGGGUGGUGGAAUUCCGAGUGUAGAGGUGAAAUUCGUAGAUAUUCGGAGGAACACCAGUGGCGAAGGCGACCACCUGGACGAACACUGACGCUGAGGUGCGAAAGCGUGGGGAGCAAACAGG